rnacentral:rRNA from 1 species
ACGGGAGGCAGCAGUGGGGAAUAUUGGACAAUGGGCGAAAGCCUGAUCCAGCAAUGCCGCGUGAGUGAUGAAGGCCUUAGGGUUGUAAAGCUCUUUUACCCGGGAUGAUAAUGACAGUACCGGGAGAAUAAGCCCCGGCUAACUCCGUGCCAGCAGCCGCGGUAA